rnacentral:rRNA from 1 species
UACGAAGGGGGCUAGCGUUGCUCGGAAUCACUGGGCGUAAAGCGCACGUAGGCGGAUUGCUAAGUCAGGGGUGAAAUCCUGGAGCUCAACUCCAGAACUGCCUUUGAUACUGGCGAUCUCGAGUUCGGGAGAGGUGAGUGGAACUGCGAGUGUAGAGGUGAAAUUCGUAGAUAUUCGCAAGAACACCAGUGGCGAAGGCGGCUCACUGGCCCGAUACUGACGCUGACGGUGCGAAAGCGUGGGGAGCAAACAGGG